rnacentral:rRNA from 1 species
AAUGAACGUUGGUAGCGUGGAUUAGGCAUGCAAGUCGAGCGACAAGGUUCCUUCGGGGACUGGAGGAGCGGCAAACGGGGUAGUAAGGCAUCGGAACGUACCCUCUUGUUCGGGAUAGCCGCGGGAAACUGCGAUUAAUACCGGAUAAUCCCUACGGGGCAAAGGUCCGCCGCAGGAGGAGCGGCCGAUGUGAUAUCAGCUAGUUGGUAGGGUAAUGGCCUACCAAGGCUUAGACGUCUAGGGGAUGUGAGAGCAUGAUCCCCACCACUGGGACUGAGAUACUGCCCAGACACCUACGGGUGGCAG